rnacentral:rRNA from 1 species
UCAGGGUUCGAUUCCGGAGAGGGAGCAUGAGAAACGGCUACCACAUCCAAGGAAGGCAGCAGGCGCGCAAAUUACCCACUCCCGGCACGGGGAGGUAGUGACGAGAAAUAACGAUACGGAACUCUAUCGAGGCUCCGUAAUUGGAAUGAGUACACUUUAAACCCUUUAACGAGGAUCAAUUGGAGGGCAAGUCUGGUGCCAGCAGCCGCGGUAAUUCCAGCUCCAAUAGCGUAUACUAAAGUUGUUGCGUUUAAAAAGCUCGUAGUUGGAUCUCGGGCCAGGACCGGUGGUCCGCCGUACGGUUGUGACUGCCGGCUCCUGCCUAUAUUCGGCUCUCCCUUGAUGUCCUUCACUGGGUGUCUUGGGUGGCCGGAGCGUUUACCUUGAAAAAAUUAGUAG